GGGGCUGCUAUGGGUUCGACGCUGGAAGUGAUUCUGGUGGACGCCGGUUCGAUUCCGGCCAGCUCCU
rnacentral:tmRNA from 1 species